AAAUUAGGAGAAGAAAAAUAAAUAAAAUAGAGUUGGUCCACGUUUCUUCUUCUUUUGUCGUCGUUGUCUCCUUCACCGUGAAUUAGGGUUUGCACUUUUGCAGAGUUUCAAUUUACUCUCAUUAUCGCAUGCCCGUUCCUCUCUAAUUAUGUUUUUCAUGUUCCCUUACCACUGAUUUUAAAGAUUCCCCAGAAAUUUUCAGGCAAAAAGAAAAAGUUACGCCACUUCCUUUCUCUUUCCAAUCUAAUCUUGAGUGAAAAAUAUAUAAAUAUCCGGAGCUUAUUGGGGAUCAAGUAUUAAGAUAUGCCUCGAGACUUGUCGCGAUCCCGAUCGCCUCCUUAUAGACGGAGGCAUUCGCCAUCUCCGGUGGGACACAGGUCUAGCAAGAGGGGUAGAAGAGACCGAAGCAGAUCUCCCUAUUCAUCCUACUCUUACAGCAGGUGACCCCGUUAGUAUGUUUAUUUUUUUCCUGAUGAAUCUUGUGUUGAGCUACGAUGAAUUGGGGAUUCGUGUUUUACAAUUUUUUCUCUCCUGUGUUAAAUCUUCUUUUUCUCAAUAUUUUGUUGCUGACUAUCCUCUUUUAUAAUGUAACUGUAAACUGUAUCGUGUUGCAUGCUAGAUUUUCUUUCAGGUUUGGUGCUCUAUGGACGUACCGAGGACGUUAUGCAAUUAUAAUAUUUUCUGUCUUCUAUAUUAGAAAAUAGGAUUGGACUUCAACCUGAGAAUAUGACAUAAGUUGUUUAUUGAUUUGGGUUAUAACUUGUAUGUAUAAAAUUGUAUUUUAGUAAGCUUUUUUCUCUUUCAAUUAGUUGUCUCAAAUCACAAAAAAGAAUAUAUCUUUAUUCAAGUAUUUAUUGAGAUCUGACUAUUUUUGGUUUGAAGAAAUGAACAUAGCAUGUUAGGAUUAAUGAGCUAUGGUAUUGUAAUGACCGAAAUAGGUAGUUCGAAGUUGAACCCCGUGGUCGUUCAAGCUGGUUAUUUAAAUUCAACAUAUACUUGGUAUUUUCGUAUCAUUCGCCUUCCUUUUUGUAUAUGCUCAAGUGGAGUGGACAAGAAGGGCAGUUUGAUACCUUUUAUUUUGCUGCUUGGCUCUCUUUUUCUGUUUAGCUCCUUGAGAAUGAGAUACAUACUAUUUUUGCUGGAUGGUUAAUACUGCUAAUAUUAAAAUAUUUUAUGACAACGUUGUCAUAAGUGUCUGGUGAUGAUGAUGUUGCUGACUUUGUUAGACAUUCUAUAUAGUUUCUUCCCUUUGCGGGAUUUUUCUUUUUAUAUACAAAGGUGGAAACUCAUCAAAAUUUAAUGUAUAUAGACCAUAAUAUAGAGAACAAGAUAGGAUAUGUGCUAUUUAUAACAAAAUAAAAAAGAUCAGUUCCUUCCCUUAACAUGGGAAGUGAGGGACGUGAACAGGUGGUAGGUGCUGAUGGGGUGUUUUUUCAUUGCUCGAUUGUGACAUUUGCUUCUUCAUGUGAUAAAAGAUGGAGCACACAAUGGUUAUUCUUAGCAAUUUCUGAGGUAACUGUACAUGUUUUUGUAUUUAGCGUGCUAGAUGGUGGGCAGCAUUUAUAAUCUCCAAAGAUAGUUGUUUAGUUGCUGAAGUUCAUUACUUAUAAUCACGUGUCAUCAUACAGGCGAAAAAGUCGUUCUAUUUCACCAAGAAAUUACCGAAGCCCUUCUACAACUCCAAGACGUCGUCGAAGCCGAUCUCCAUCUGCUAAAAGAUACAGAAGACAUAGAAGUAGGAGUUCUUCAUUUUCUCCUGCUCGUAAAUCUUCCAGUUCAAGUCUUGGGUCAGUAGAGCACAGAACUGCAACUGAAAAACAAAAGAAAGAAGAAGAGAAGAAAAGAACUUUGGAACACUGAUGCUGUUAAAUGUGCCAUUCUCUCAUAUGAAAAAAAGGUGCAUUACGUAUCAAUAACAGACUGCCUGGAAAAUUAGGCAAGGAAGGUUAUAAUGGUAAAAUUUUGUAAUUCUUGUAAUAUUUUUGGUGAGUAGUUCUAGUCUCAAAUGUUCCAUCUGCUUUGUGUCUAUUUCAAAUAUUGCCUUACUCUACUUUCUGGUAUUUUAAUAAUGUUCUGCUAUUUGUUUAUACUUUACUAAAUUUCAUGUUGUGUAGGGAUAUGAUGGAUUAUUAGUUAUAAUACGAGACAGUUGCAUUGGGAAGACAAAAUUUUCUGUCGUUUUACCAUUAUGUUAUCUUUUGGCUGAAGACUAUGAUACUAUUAAAUUUUUAGUCUUGCCCCUGUUUUCUCGCUCUCAACCUGCUACUUUCCUAAGCUCCUAGCCUUCAAAGUGAUCUUAAUUAGUGCUUUUCUUUGUCUGCAAAGAAAAGAAACAUAAAAUAGGACAUUAAAUCUUUUUCUUCCAUUUAAUUUCUUGUCAGGCAGAGCUUGUCUUUGUCUGCUAAAUUAGUUCAAUUACUGUUAUUUCCCAGGGUCUUUACCAGAAAUCUGUUGUUGGGUGGUGGGGGGAGGGAAACCUCCCGCAUCCUGAUUUCUCCUUUUCCCUUGGGUCUAUCAUGACCUCCCUAAAAGGUUAAAAAGAUAAAGAGACUCAACUUUAAUGAUUGUUACUUUCUGCUUAUUGGUAAUAUUUUCUUUCAGUGCUAUGAAACUGAAAUUUUAGAUCUUAAUUGUUGAGCAAUUUUCUUCAUCCCUGUGAUAUAUUGAACCAUAGCUAUGUCAUUUGAUUAUGCAUUUCAAGUAGGAUAAGACUUUUGUUGUUUAAACAUUUUCAGUCUCAAAUGUCUAAGACAUAUUCUUAUUUAUUUGUCCAUACAAAAUUUUACAUCAUUGAUCCCAUCUUUUGGAUGUUGCCACUUCUACGGUGGUGCUUAUUUGUUGCUGACUAAAGGGUUAGAAUAUUUAAUCAGAUAUUUCUUGAGUUAUAUACUUAACUUAUUUAGUCUUCUGAACCCUCUACUAUCUCUCUGCACUGGUGAUGGACCAAUUUAAAGACUGGAUGUCCUAGUAAUCAUUAACUGUCUGUUUGGCUCACUUCUGGUUCAGUUGGAUUCAUGAACUUGUUUCUGUAGUACCACACGCUCCAAGAGAUAGAUCUGAUCCUGUGAGCCUCCUCAAAGGGUCUAGUCAUCAGGUUUAUAGACUAGAAUGCCUUUAAUUUUGGUUAUGGGGAUCCUUUGGAUGCAAAGUUCAUCCCCUUAUAUCAUUCUCUCAUAGUUUAGACCGGAUAAUUAUCAGCGUAAAACUCUGGAUCGACGGAGUAAAUAUUAAUUUCAAUAGGGUGAACAUAUGGUUUUUUAAUUGUUUUGAUUCUUCUGGCACUUAACUAACAAAAGAACUUGACCUAUCUUCUACAAUUAACUUAUCAAAUAUGUUUAGUGUAAAAAUUCUAGUAUUUCCGUGAAUAGCUUAAAACUGCAGCAUGUUACUUGAAUUUCUUCUUCACAGGCUUGUCUGAAGCAAGGUACUGCUAUAAUUGGACUUGUUAUGUUUGAUGAUCAAAUUGGCUGCCUCAUUUAUCUACUGUUCACCAGUUUUGAAACUCAUUUGUUUGGAUCAGGAUUCAAUAGAGGUAUGCCUUAAAAGCAUAACCAUUUAUUAGUGCCAUUGUCAUCAUGGAGGCGUCAACUUGAAGCAGAGUUGAAACUAAUAGAAGAAGAGACUGCCAAGAGAGUUGAAGAAGCAAUCCGAAGGAGAGUGGAAGAAAGCUUGAAUUCUGAGGAGGUUCAGGUGGAGAUUCAAAGGCGGUUGGAAGAGGGACG